CGGGUGGCCGCGGCCGAGCCGGGAGCCGAGCGCGCUGGGCGCGGCCGUCCCGCCGCCGCCGCUGCCGCCGCCAAGCCCGGAGUGCGCCAGCGGUCAUGGUUCCCGCGGCGGCGCCGGGCGCCUGAGCCCCGGGACGCAAGCGCUGGAGGCGGGCAGCCGGCUGUGCGGGCGCUCCGGAGAGACCGACAGAAGGUGAGCUCUGUGGGCUAUGGGAUGGAUGAGGUGGAGCAGGACCAGCAUGAGGCCCGACUCAAGGAGCUGUUUGACAGUUUUGACACGACGGGCACAGGGUCCCUGGGGCAGGAGGAACUCACCGACCUUUGCCACAUGUUGAGCUUGGAGGAGGUGGCCCCAGUGCUGCAGCAGACGUUACUUCAGGACAACCUCUUGGGCAGGGUACAUUUUGACCAAUUUAAAGAAGCAUUAAUACUCAUCUUGUCCAGAACUCUAUCAAAUGAAGAACGCUUUCAAGAGCCAGACUGCUCACUAGAAGCUCAGCCCAAAUAUGUUAGAGGUGGGAAGCGUUACGGGCGAAGGUCCUUGCCCGAGUUCCAAGAGUCCGUGGAGGAGUUUGCCGAAGUGACGGUGAUUGAGCCACUGGAUGAAGAAGCGCGGCCUUCACACAUCCCAGCCAGUGACUGCAGUGAGCACUGGAAGACGCAACGCAGUGAGGAGUAUGAAGCGGAAGGCCAGUUAAGGUUUUGGAACCCAGAUGACUUGAAUGCUUCACAGAGUGGAUCUUCCCCUCCCCAAGACUGGAUAGAAGAGAAACUGCAAGAAGUUUGUGAAGACUUGGGGAUCACCCGUGACGGUCACCUGAACCGGAAGAAGCUGAUCUCCAUCUGUGAGCAGUAUGGUUUACAGAAUGUGGAUGGAGAGAUGCUCGAGGAAGUAUUCCAUAAUCUUGAUCCUGACGGUACAAUGAGUGUAGAAGAUUUUUUCUACGGUUUGUUUAAAAAUGGAAAAUCUCUUACACCAUCAGCAUCUACUCCAUAUAGACAACUAAAAAGGCACCUUUCCAUGCAGUCUUUCGAUGAGAGUGGACGACGUACCACAACCUCAUCAGCAAUGACAAGUACCAUUGGCUUUCGGGUCUUCUCCUGCCUGGAUGAUGGGAUGGGCCAUGCAUCUGUGGAGAGAAUACUCGACACCUGGCAGGAAGAGGGCAUUGAGAACAGCCAGGAGAUCCUGAAGGCUUUGGAUUUCAGCCUCGAUGGAAACAUCAAUUUGACAGAAUUAACACUGGCCCUUGAAAAUGAACUUUUGGUCACCAAGAACAGCAUUCACCAGGCGGCUCUGGCCAGCUUUAAGGCUGAAAUCCGGCAUUUGUUGGAACGAGUUGAUCAGGUGGUCAGAGAAAAAGAGAAGCUACGAUCAGAUCUGGACAAGGCCGAGAAGCUCAAGUCUUUAAUGGCCUCGGAGGUGGAUGAUCACCAUGCGGCCAUAGAGCGGCGGAAUGAGUACAACCUCAGGAAACUGGAUGAAGAGUACAAGGAGCGAAUAGCAGCCUUAAAAAAUGAACUCCAAAAAGAGAGAGAGCAGAUCCUGCAGCAGGCAGGCAAGCAGCGUUCAGAACUUGAACAGGAAAUUGAAAAGGCAAAAACAGAAGAGAACUAUAUCCGGGACCGCCUUGCCCUCUCUUUAAAGGAAAACAGUCGUCUGGAAAAUGAGCUUCUGGAAAAUGCAGAGAAGUUGGCAGGAUAUGAGAAUCUGACAAACAAACUUCAGAGAAAUUUGGAAAAUGUGUUAGCAGAAAAGUUUGGUGACCUCGAUCCUAGCAGUGCUGAGUUCUUCCUGCAAGAAGAGAGACUGACACAGAUGAGAAAUGAAUAUGAGCGGCAGUGCAGGGUACUACAAGACCAAGUAGAUGAACUCCAGUCUGAGCUGGAAGAAUAUCGUGCACAAGGCAGAGUGCUCAGGCUUCCGUUGAAGAACUCACCGUCAGAAGAACUUGAUGCUAACAGCGGUGGCAUUGAGCCCGACCAUGGGCUCGGUUCUGAAGAAUGCAAUCCAUUGAAUAUGAGCAUUGAGGCAGAGCUGGUCAUUGAACAGAUGAAAGAACAACAUCACAGGGACAUAUGUUGCCUCAGACUGGAGCUCGAAGAUAAAGUGCGCCAUUAUGAAAAGCAGCUGGACAAAACCGUGGUCAGCUGCGAGAAGGCACAGGAGAACAUGAAGCAAAGGCAUGAGAACGAAAUGCACACCUUAGAAAAACAAAUAAGUGACCUUAAAAAUGAAAUUGCUGAACUUCAGGGGCAAGCAGCAGUGCUCAAGGAGGCACAUCAUGAGGCCACUUGCAGGCAUGAGGAGGAGAAAAAACAACUGCAAGUGAAGCUUGAGGAGGAAAAGACUCACCUGCAGGAGAAGCUGAGGCUGGAACAUGAGGUGGAGCUCAAGGCUAGACUGACACAGGCUCAAGCAAGCUUUGAGCGGGAGAGGGAAGGCCUUCAGAGUAGUGUCUGGACAGAAGAGAAGGUGAGAGGCUUGACUCAGGAACUAGAGCAGUUUCAUCAGGAGCAGCUGACAAGCCUGGUGGAGAAACACACUCUUGAGAAAGAGGAGUUAAGAAAAGAGCUCUUGGAAAAGCACCAAAGGGAGCUUCAGGAGGGAAGGGAAAAAAUGGAAACAGAGUGUAAUAGAAGAACCUCUCAGAUAGAAGCCCAGUUUCAGUCUGAUUGUCAGAAAGUCACUGAGAGGUGUGAAAGCACUCUGCAAAGCCUGGAGGGGCGCUACCGCCAAGAGCUCAAGGACCUCCGGGAACAGCAGCGCGAGGAGAAAUCCCAGUGGGAAUUUGAGAAGGACGAGCUCACCCAGGAGUGUGCAGAAGCCCAGGAGCUGCUGAAAGAGACUCUUAAGAGAGAGAAAGCAACUUCUCUGGUCCUGACCCAGGAGAGAGAGAUGCUGGAGAAAACAUACAAAGAACAUUUGAACAGCAUGGUCAUCGAGAGAGAGCAGCUACUCCAAGACCUGGAAGACCUAAGAAAUGUAUCUGAAACCCAGCAAAGCCUGCUGUCUGACCAGAUACUCGAGCUGAAGAGCAGUCACAAAAGAGAACUGAGGGAGCGCGAGGAGGUCCUGUGCCAGGCAGGGGCUUCGGAGCAGCUGGCCAGCCAGCGGCUGGAAAGACUAGAAAUGGAACGUGACCAGGAAAGGCAGGAAAUGAUGUCCAAGCUUCUGGCCAUGGAGAACAUUCACAAAGCGACCUGUGAGAAAGCAGAUCGAGAAAGAGCUGAGAUGAGCACAGAAAUCUCCAGACUUCAGAGUAAAAUAAAGGAAAUGCAGCAGGCAGCAUCUCCUCUCUCCACACUUCAGAGUGGUUGCCAGGUGAUAGGAGAGGAGGAGGUGGAAGGAGAUGGAGCCCUGUCUCUGCUUCAGCAAGGGGAGCAGCUGUUGGAAGAAAAUGGGGACGUCCUCUUAAGCCUGCAGAGAGCUCAUGAACAGGCAGUGAAGGAAAAUGUGAAAAUGGCUACUGAAAUUUCUAGAUUGCAACAGAGGCUACAAAAGUUAGAGCCAGGGUUAGUAAUGUCUUCUUGUUUGGAUGAGCCAGCUACUGAGUUUUUUGGAAAUACUGCGAGACAAACAGAGCCGUUUUUACAGCAAAACCGAACGAAGCAAGUAGAAGGUGUGACCAGGCGGCAUGUCCUAAGUGACCUGGAAGAUGAUGAGGUCCGGGACCUGGGAAGUACAGGGACGAGCUCUGUUCAGAGACAGCAAGUCAAAAGAGAGGAGUCUGAAGCUUCAGUAGAGGGUUUUUCCGAGCUUGAAAACAGUGAAGAGACCAGGACUGAAUCCUGGGAGCUGAAGAAUCAGAUUAGUCAGCUUCAGGAACAGCUAAUGAUGUUAUGUGCGGACUGUGAUCGAGCUUCUGAAAAGAAACAGGACCUACUUUUUGAUGUUUCUGUGCUAAAAAAGAAACUGAAGAUGCUUGAGAGAAUCCCUGAGGCUUCUCCCAAAUAUAAGCUGUUGUAUGAAGAUGUGAGCCAAGAAAAUGACUGCCUUCAGGAAGAGCUGAGAAUGAUGGAGACACGCUACGAUGAGGCACUAGAAAAUAACAAAGAACUCACUGCAGAGGUUUUCAGGUUGCAGGAUGAGCUGAAGAAAAUGGAGGAAGUCACCGAAACAUUCCUUAGCCUGGAAAAGAGUUACGAUGAGGUCAAAAUAGAAAAUGAGGAGCUGAAUGUUCUGGUUUUGAGACUUCAAGGCAAGAUUGAGAAGCUGCAGGAAAGCGUGGUCCAGCGGUGUGACUGCUGCUUAUGGGAAGCCAGUUUAGAGAACCUGGAAAUCGAACCUGAUGGAAAUAUACUCCAGCUCAAUCAGACACUGGAAGAGUGUGUGCCCAGCGUUAGGAGUGUACAUCAUGUCAUAGAAGAAUGUAAGCAAGAAAACCAGUACCUUGAGGGGAACACACAGCUCUUGGAAAAAGUAAAAGCACACGAAAUUGCCUGGUUACAUGGAACAAUUCAGGCACAUCAAGAAAGGCCAAGAGUACAGAAUCAAGUUAUACUGGAGGAAAACGCUACUCUCCUAGGCUUUCAAGACAAACAUUUUCAGCGUCAGGCCACAAUAGCAGAGUUAGAACUGGAGAAAACAAAGUUACAGGAGCUGACUAGGAAGUUGAAGGAGAGAGUCACUAUUUUAGUUAAGCAAAAAGAUGUGCUUUCUCAAGGAGAAAAGGAGGAAGAGCUGAAGGCAAUGAUGCAUGACUUGCAGAUCACGUGCAGUGAGAUGCAGCAAAAAGUUGAACUUCUGAGAUAUGAAUCUGAAAAGCUUCAACAGGAAAAUUCUAUUUUGAGAAAUGAAAUUACUACUUUAAAUGAAGAAGAUAGCAUUUCUAACCUGAAAUUAGGGACAUUAAAUGGAUCUCAGGAAGAAAUGUGGCAAAAAACGGAAACUGUAAAACAAGAAAAUGCUGCAGUUCAGAAGAUGGUUGAAAAUUUAAAGAAACAGAUUUCAGAAUUAAAAAUCAAAAACCAACAGUUGGAUUUGGAAAAUACAGAACUUAGCCAAAAGAACUCUCAAAACCAGGAAAAACUGCAAGAACUUAAUCAACGUCUAACAGAAAUGCUAUGCCAGAAGGAAAAAGAGCCAGGAAACAGUGCAUUGGAGGAACGGGAACAAGAGAAGUUUAAUCUGAAAGAAGAACUGGAACGUUGUAAAGUGCAGUCCUCCACUUUAGUGUCUUCUCUGGAGGCGGAGCUCUCUGAAGUUAAAAUACAGACCCAUAUUGUGGAACAGGAAAACCUCCUUCUCAAAGAAGAACUGGAGAAAAUGAAACAGCUGCACAGAUGUCCUGAUCUCUCUGACUUCCAGCAAAAAAUCUCUAGUGUUCUAACCUACAACGAAAAACUGCUGAAAGAAAAGGAAGCUCUGAGUGAGGAAUUAAAUAGCUGUGUCGAUAAGUUGGCAAAAUCAAGUCUUUUAGAGCACAGAAUUGCGACGAUGAAGCAGGAACAGAAAUCCUGGGAACAUCAGAGUGCGAGCUUAAAGUCACAGCUGGUGGCUUCUCAGGAAAAGGUUCAGAAUUUAGAAGACGCCCUGCAGAAUGUAAACCUGCAAAUGUCCCGGUUGAAAUCUGACCUACGAGUGACUCAGCAGGAAAAGGAGGCUUUAAAACAAGAAGUGAUAUCUUUGCAUAAGCAACUUCAGAAUGCUGGUGGCAAGAGCUGGGCGCCAGAAAUAGCUACUCAUCCAUCAGGGCUCCAUAACCAGCAGAAAAGGCUGUCCUGGGACAAGUUGGAUCAUCUGAUGAAUGAGGAACAGCAGCUGCUUUGGCAAGAGAAUGAGAGGCUCCAGACCGUGGUACAGAACACCAAAGCCGAACUCACGCACUCCCGGGAGAAGGUCCGUCAACUGGAAUCCAAUCUUCUUCCCAAGCACCAAAAACAUCUAAACCCAUCAGGUACCAUGAAACCCACAGAGCAAGAAAAAUUGAGCUUAAAGAGAGAGUGUGAUCAGUUUCAGAAAGAACAAUCUCCUACUAACAGGAAGGUCAGUCAGAUGAAUUCCCUUGAACAAGAAUUAGAAACAAUUCAUUUGGAAAAUGAAGGCCUGAAAAAGAAACAAGUAAAACUGGAUGAGCAGCUCAUGGAGAACUCAGUGGUUGGAAGUAGCAGAGAAGGGUGCAGUUCUCUGCCUGAGAUAGUGUGUGAAGAUGCAGCACCUGAGGUCCACUGCGAUGCCUAGCCCAUCCCCUUAUGCUUGGGAUUUGCAGCUGCUCCAGCAGCAAGCCUGUCUGAUGGUGCCCAGGGAGCAGUUUCUGCAGCUUCAACACCAGCUGCUGCAGGCAGAAAGGAUAAACCAGCACCUGCAGGAGGAACUUGAAAACAGGACCUCCGAAACCAACACACCACAGGCCUUGCUACCGGAGCAGCGAGCAGUGCACGCAGAUUCCUACAGAAGGAUUGGGCACCUGUGAAAACUGGGCUGCUAUUGAUGGCAUUUCUUACCAUGGCAGACAGACGCACACACCCACCCAUGCACACACACCACACACAGAAACAUAAGCUAAGCUAUGUUGGAAUUAAGUGCUCUUUUAAAUUAUUUUGUUAUUUUUACUGUUAAACUUUGCAGUAUUAUGUCUCUUAUUUAUGUAGAAAUGACAGAUCUUGUGAAUCAAAUUCACAAACAUCAGCUUGUUACAAAUCAUUUUAUUUAUACCCUCUAAAGAGUGUGGAUUUAAGAUUAUUGAAAGGAUGUAGUCUAUAUAUUUUCUCAUUCCAUAUGUUGUAACUAUUUUUAACAAAAGGUACUACUUUUAUAUAUGGAAUUUGAAGAAAACCAGGGGUAUUUAUACUGUUUUGUAUAAGAUGUAUAAAUCUUUUUGACAGGAAAUUUUUGAUGAAACAAUAAAAUAAAUUUUAAGUAUAUGACUGCCUUUGUUUUUCCUGUUUUCCCACUCUUUUGCCAACUCUAUGUUCUUUGAAUUAUUUUUUUUGUUUUGCUUUGUUGUUGGGCAAAUAGACAUCAGACAUUUUAUAUUUAUGUUUGAACUUUAAAAAGCUAUUUUUUUUUAAUAUAGGCCUUUUCAAAAGCUAGAUGUCCUCCAGGCCCAAUUUUUUUGUAACUUACUUCCUACAUUAGACCUUUGCCUAUUACAAUUUUUAUCCUCAGGAUAGUUACCACAUGAUUUAGGGUUUCUUUUAUGACUGUUACUACUUAGUAUCCAAACAGAUGGUAGCCUUUGACUCAUGUUUGGUCAUUCUGCAUGUCUUUUAAAGUAUGUCUUAACCACCAUCAGCUGUUAACACCUUUAUGAAAUCUGAAAUUCCUUAUGGGGACAUUUUGGUGGACUGCAGAGGGAUGGGGGUUGCAUUCUAAUAAGUCAAUUGCAUUCUAAUCUCUCUAGGUCUCUCUCCUCUACAAAACCCACUUACUCCUUAACCCAUCACCGUCGUGAGAGAACAGAUUUUUCAUUUUCAAUCUGCUCUGAUAGUAAACCUAUCCUCCAAUCCAGAUGUGUGCUUCACAUUUACAAGUGGGAAACAGAUGACUAGAAAAAUUGGCAGGAAGAGGCUAUUAUGAAGAAAGAAACACUUACCACCCUCACAGUCAUCAGCCACUUCAAAGGAAAAACAGACAUGCAUAUUGCAAGCUGAUUGGAUAUGUUAGGAAACCCUGAAUAUAUUCAGUGCUUGUUUUGUUGUUGAGAGACCCACAACAUUGCAGAGACCCAGAUCACAGAUGGGAGGUUGAUAACUAUCUUCUAAGUUACCUUGGAUGUCCAUUUUACUAGAGGUACCCACAGGUAUUAAAUUAUGGGUUUUCAGAAUUUUGCUUUAUAUCGGGGGAUGAUGGUAACACAGGUAAGAUUCUUUUGAUUUUUCAAUCUGAUCCUUUCUCUGAUAGGGUUACUCUUCUGACAUAUGCAAUCCAUGCAGGGCUCAAAACUCUCAUUUCAUGAGAAAUCCAUCCUUCCUGUUACAAAGGCAAAACAUUUGCCGUCCUUUCUCUAGGCAUCUUGUGGGGAAAAUAAACCAGUGUUUUCAGUGCGACAUGAUUUUCGAAUAAUACACUUUUCUUCCCUUCAGGGAAACCAGGAACAACUGGUAACUGUCAUGGAGGAACGAAUGAUAGAAGUUGAACAGAAACUGAAACUAGUGAAAAGGCUUCUUCAAGAGAAAGUGAAUCAGCUCAAAGAACAACUCUGCAAGAACACUAAGGCAGACGCAGUGGUGAAGGACUUGUAUGUUGAAAAUGCCCAGUUGUUGAAAGCUCUGGAAGUAACUGAACAGCGACAGAAAACAGCAGAGAAGAAAAAUUACCUCCUGGAGGAGAAGAUUGCCAGCCUCAGUAAUAUAGUUAGGAACCUGACACCAGCGCCAUUGACUUCUACACCUCCUUUGAGGUCAUAGCCAAACCAAAGGGUACACUCAUAUUUGUGCACUUUACUGAAAUAGAUGAACAUUUCAGUAGGUUCUCAAAGUUAAAAUGAAGCCUAACCUAAAACUGCCAGCAACAGAACUGGAGUUUCCAUUUAUCAUAAUUAGUUUUUCUAAAUAGAUCCUUAUGGGAGUUUGAAAAUACGUAUUUCGCUAAAUUAUUCCCAAGAUUUGAAUUUAUUUUAAAAUUCUAAUAGCCACCAAGAAUGUGGCCGUAUGAAAACAAUUCAAGAACCUAAAAAAUACCAGUUUUGAAUGAGUUUUUGUGGUUUUGAUUUUUUUUUAAUUAUUACAAAUCUAUGUGUAAAGUCUAGAUAUUUGAAGUUUGAGAUCUGAUGAGAAUGGUUGUUAUAAACUUUAUUUUAGAACCAAAUUUAGGUGGUGUUCUUACAUAUUUAAAUACUGGAAAGUCAUUAUAAUAGUUUUGGUUCUUUGAAUUGGUACACAAUUAAUUGGUAGAGUAUAAUUGGUUAGGAGGCAGGGCUUAUUAAGUGGUUAUUAACCACUGAGGUCAGACAAACCCAAAUCUGUAGAAUUCUCACCUUCUAACACCUGUGACAGUAUUACCACUCUUUUUGUAUUAUAGAUUUAGAACUGAUUUACUCAAUUGCACUCUUAACUAAUGUUAAAAGCUUACUGGCUUUAAACAGCCUUUUCUUCUUUCUCUUAAAAGUUUCAUUUGGGAAGCUGGUCUUCUAAGAAAUGGAUAAAGCCACAUAAUUAAAGCAGUUGAACUAUAGGGAAAGCACUGAACAAACCACUUUGGAGUAAAUAGCUACUCUUAGAAAAGAGGGAUAAGCAGACCAUGUAGGUUUUCUGUCUCUCAAAUCUUGGAGUUCAUGAAUUUACUUGAGGUUGCCUCAAGAACUCAGGGAACAAUACAGUGAACUGUCUUCCUGAACUACUGUAGGGCCUCUCUAAGAAUUUGAAAUGUAUAAACCAUGUGACCUCAUCUAUUUGUCAUAUAUUUACAGCCAUAGUAGAAUUUUUAUUUCUACAUUUUUAGUAAAUUUAAUAUGCUGGGGAAAAAAAGGCCUUGAUUUUAGGGUUAAAAACCUGACUUACAGAAGAGUUUAUUGAAUAUAGGUCAAAAUUUUCUGUGUUUCUUGUUCCUUCUAUACCUCAAAUCUGAUUCUAAGAAUUUCUUACUGUGAUAAUCACUGGCAUGCCACCUGAGGUCAAGGAGUGCCAAACAGGACUUUCCACUCAUGCUCAAGAUCAAAACCUUAUAGAACAGUCAACAUUUUAGAUUCGGUAACCUUUUUUUCUUCCAAUUAUAGUAUCUGCCUCUAGCCACUUCCGCCAGCAGUUGGUGGAAGACUUACUAGGUGCAAGGCACUAUCCAAGCUCAUCACAACAACCUGCUUGUUUUCAUGAGACAAUAAUCCAAAAAGUUCGCUUUGAUAUAUUCCUGGAGGGCCAAGCCCAUCUAUUUACAAAAGGUGUAACAGCAAAACCAAGCACUGCUUUAUGGGCAGGAACACAAGAGAAAGCAAACUGCCCAAGAAGUCAUCAUGUCAGAAACUCAAUCUCAACAAAGUAAUUUCCAUCAGGGAACUUCAGGGUUUCUUGGGGCUUAUGAGUCUCACCGGUCAACCCAGGAGGCCUACAAGAGCCUUAACAAGGCACUGUUUUUUGUGGGACUGGGAGUUCACACUGAUGAAGCAGACCUUUGAAUUUUUGCACAGCUCUUGUCAGAAAGCCCUGACUUCCCCCUAGAUAAAGAGUUAAUUUUAAUCCAUCUCUAGAAUUAUACUUCAAAAUAUUUGACAUCUGCUAUCAUGUCUUCUUUAGAUCUUUCUUCUGCGGUGCAAACAUUUCUAGUAAGUGUUUAACUACUUGUAUGGCAUUAGCUUUCACAGAAAAUUGUUUCACUUAAAACUGUGGAUUGGCCUAGGCUAAGGACAAUAAACUAAGUACCUGUAGUGUAUUUAUGUGAUAUGUGUCAAGUUACUCAAGGUUAUUGCUGUUGGAACUGAAUAAUAAUAUUUCCCAGAUAGCUGGCCUUAGCAUGUGAUUACAGUUGUUGUAUUUUUAAUUUUUGUCCUUUAUACUAUGAUAGGUGUAGGUUAAUUUGUUUAUUUCCUAUAAAUUUGUAUUUAUGUGUAUAUAAAAUGUACAAUGAAUGUAAAUAUGACUUUCUGGAAAGUUUAGACUACAUUUAGAAUCUCUAUUCAAAAUCAAAAUGCUGCUCAAAUGAAUUUAACCAACAUCUAGGUGCUUAAUUUCUCUUUUUAUCCCACUUAUGAGAUUGGGAAAAAGAUCAAUAUGAGAAAUAUCAUACAGAUACCUUAAAUGUAUACAUUUGUGCAACAAUUUUUGAGAAGGUGAGUGGCAAUUUAUAAUUUAGUUGGCAAUUUAUAAUAGAGCUUAUAGCUUUUAAAAGACCUUUUAGACAUUAAAUGUAAACUUAAAAUUAUGUUUAGAUCUUGUUUCAAACUUUACAAUAGCACUCUUCCAAAUAUUAAGUUAUAUAUUUUAUAGGCAUUUGGUUGCUUAUUAAAAGCACUGAUUUUUAAGCUUUUUGAUUUAAGAACAAUUAUUUAAGAUCGUCUCAGAAGAUGGGAUCUUCGUUUCAAGAAAAGGGAAUCAAGUUUGCCUUUGUGAUAAUACGUUACAUUAAGAAAAGGAAAAUGUGGAUAGUAAAACCCACCUCUCUCAUCCUAUUUUGCUCUCUUCUGCUUUUUAGAAGCCUGCACUUAAGCUCAGAUUUGUGAAGGGAGAGUAGAAGGGGAGAAGUAGAACCACAGUGUUUUAUUUAUUUUUCUAAAACUCUUACUAAAUCCAGAUUUUUUAAAUGGUUGUAAAUGUGAAUUCUUCCCAGAAAUUUCAAUGCAUUGCAUAUUUAGCCUUCGGCAUAUUUUUCAUGAGUAGAUCAUGAAGUCAUAGGCUUCCAAGGCAUAGGAAGAGAUCUUACAGGUCUAGUAUUUUAAUAAUGCACUAAUACCCAGGGCAGAUAUUAUGAGAAACUGUUUCUUCUCUAAGGGUUUAUGGCAGACUUUGCUUUUUUAACAUGUGAGAAAUGAAUUUUUUAUUUUGUGAUUUCUGUGAUUUCUCUUGCUGAGUGAAAGAAAAGAGAAAUUGUUGCUAUUGUCAGCAUCUUAAAGGUAUUUCCAGUCACGGCAAGGCUAAGUGCUUUGUGAUAGUAUUAAGCAAGUCAUGUUUUGAAUGGAUUACCUGUAGUGACUCAUUGGAAUGAUAUAAUUAUACAAGUAAUGCCAAAAAUCAAGUCAAAGCCUAAUUAACCAAAGCACUCAUUUAAAAAUCAUCACGUUUGGACCUAUCUGGACCUCUCAGCACUGUAAAAUCGUUUUGGUUUUGUGGCAUAUGAAUAGCUGUUUAACAAAUCAAAGUUAGCUUUUUGCUUCUCAGCUUUUUUGGGCAAUACAAGUUAAGUUCUUAAUGGGGAGACAUUAUCAUGGCAUGACUUAAGGGAACAUUGGUUUUGUGAAGGAAAAACAGAUUAUCUAAAGCCAUCUCUAUAUUUCUGUUCAGAUAAAGAUUAAUGAGUUAUGUGUUUAUAUCAGCUUUGUAUAUUUCAUCUUAGCCAUUCUAUCCUAGAAAAAUUUUAAUGUGAGCUUAAGAUGUAAAUAAAUAAUUUUGCAAACAUACCUUUUGUUUUCUAUAUACCCUGACCUCUUAAUAAAGUUUCAGUGUAUUUAU